rnacentral:rRNA from 1 species
GCAUAACGCGAAGAACCUUACCUGGGCUUGAACUGUCGGUAUAGGGACCCGAAAGGGCGACGAUCCCGGGCAACCGGGAAGCCGAUAGAGGUGCUGCAUGGCUGUCGUCAGCUCGUGUCGUGAGAUGUUGGGUUAAGUCCCGCAACGAGCGCAACCCUUGUCUUUAGUUGCCAGCGAGUCAUGUCGGGCACUCUAAGGAGACUGCCUCGGAUAACGAGGAGGAAGGUGGGGAUGACGUCAAGUCAGCAUGGCCUUUAUGUCCAGGGCUACACACGUGCUACAAUGGGCGGCACAGAAGGACGCGAGACCGCGAGGUCAAGUCAACCCUUAAAACCGUUCUCAGUUCGGAUUGCAGGCUGCAAUUCGCCUGCAUGAAGUCGGAAUCGCUAGUAAUCGCGGAUCAGCUACGCCGCGGUGAAUACGUUCUCGGGUCUUGUACACACCG